GUUCACGCCUGUAAUCCCAGCACUUUGGGAGGCCAAGGUGAUCUCAGCCCUCCUCUAGGCUUCGAUUAUAACUUACAGGAUUGUGAUUCACACAUUUCAGUUUCCACCACAGGCCCCUCCAGACAUGUCCAUCUGCCUGCUGUGUUGACUUUUCCCUUUGGAGUCUUGAGGCAGCUACAAGCUUACUGACCAGAAAUGAACUCAAGCUCUCCCCGAAGCCUGGUCCUCUUCCAGGAUCAGCCAGCCUGGAAGAUGGCACUGUCAUCCACCCUGUUCUCAGGCCUGCCACCCAGGAGUCAACCUUAGCCCCAUCUAAUUGUCAGAGGCAUCUGAACCAGAGCAACUCCAUCUUGAGUAGGGGAUGGGUAAAAUGAGGCUGAGACCUGCUGGGCUGCAUUCCCAGACAGCCAAGGCAUUAGCCACAGGAUAAGAUAGGAGGUCGGUACAAGACACAGGUCAUAAAGACCUUGCUGAUAAAACAGUUUGCAGUAAAGAAGCCAGCCAAAACCCACUAAAACCAAGAUGGCAACGAGAGUGACCUCUGGUCGUCCUCACUGCUACCCUCCCACCAGCACCAUGACAGUUUACAAAUGCCAUGGCAAUGUCAGAAAGUUACCCUAUAGGGUCUAAAAAGGGGAGGCAUGAAUAAUCUACCCCUUGUUUAGCAUAUCAUCAAGAAAUAACCAUAAAAAUAGGCAACCAGCAGCCCUCAGGGAUGCUCUGUCUAUGGAGUAGCCAUUCUUUUGUUCCUUUACUCUCUUAAUAAACUUGCUUUCACUUUACUCUAUGGACUCGCCCUGAAUUCUCUCUUGUGCAAGAUCCAAGAACCCUCUCUUGGGGUCUGGAUCGGAACCCCUUUCCUGUAACAUAAUCAAUUUGGUGCCAAAUGCAUGAAGUGUUAUCUUCUAGGUCUCUCAAAUCCAUCCACUGUUCUCCAUCCAGGAGAGUGUCACCAGGGCUGGCACAGAUGGUUGCAUACUGCAGAAAGGUCACCACGCAAGCCAUUACCUCUCACCUGUUCCAUGAAAAUACCAACUCAUCUCCUUCCCUUUUGGCCUCUCCAAGCCAUAUUCCAAUCCACAGCUAAAACGAUUUCAUUAAAAUGCAAAUCUAAUCCCGUUGUUCCUUUGCAUAACUGCCCUGGGGAGA
rnacentral:lncRNA from 1 species